GCCUAACACAUGCAAGUCGAGCGGUAGAGAGAAGCUUGCUUCUCUUGAGAGCGGCGGACGGGUGAGUAAUGCCUAGGAAUCUGCCUGGUAGUGGGGGAUAACGUUCGGAAACGAACGCUAAUACCGCAUACGUCCUACGGGAGAAAGCAGGGGACCUUCGGGCCUUGCGCUAUCAGAUGAGCCUAGGUCGGAUUAGCUAGUUGGUGAGGUAAUGGCUCACCAAGGCGACGAUCCGUAACUGGUCUGAGAGGAUGAUCAGUCACACUGGAACUGAGACACGGUCCAGACUCCUACGGGAGGCAGCAGUGGGGAAUAUUGGACAAUGGGCGAAAGCCUGAUCCAGCCAUGCCGCGUGUGUGAAGAAGGUCUUCGGAUUGUAAAGCACUUUAAGUUGGGAGGAAGGGCAGUUACCUAAUACGUGAUUGUUUUGACGUUACCGACAGAAUAAGCACCGGCUAACUCUGUGCCAGCAGCCGCGGUAAUACAGAGGGUGCAAGCGUUAAUCGGAAUUACUGGGCGUAAAGCGCGCGUAGGUGGUUUGUUAAGUUGGAUGUGAAAUCCCCGGGCUCAACCUGGGAACUGCAUUCAAAACUGACUGACUAGAGUAUGGUAGAGGGUGGUGGAAUUUCCUGUGUAGCGGUGAAAUGCGUAGAUAUAGGAAGGAACACCAGUGGCGAAGGCGACCACCUGGACUAAUACUGACACUGAGGUGCGAAAGCGUGGGGAG
rnacentral:rRNA from 1 species